AUUGAACGCUGGCGGCAGGCCUAACACAUGCAAGUCGAACGGUAACAGAAAGCAGCUUGCUGCUUUGCUGACGAGUGGCGGACGGGUGAGUAAUGUCUGGGAAACUGCCUGAUGGAGGGGGAUAACUACUGGAAACGGUAGCUAAUACCGCAUAACGUCGCAAGACCAAAGAGGGGGACCUUCGGGCCUCUUGCCAUCGGAUUUGCCCAGAUGGGAUUAGCUAGUAGGUGGGGUAACGGCUCACCUAGGCGACGAUCCCUAGCUGGUCUGAGAGGAUGUCCAGCCACACUGGAACUGAGACACGGUCCAGACUCCUACGGGAGGCAGCAGUGGGGAAUAUUGCACAAUGGGCGCAAGCCUGAUGCAGCCAUGCCGCGUGUAUGAAGAAGGCCUUCGGGUUGUAAAGUACUUUCAGCGGGGAGGAAGGGAGUAAAGUUAAUACCUUUGCUCAUUGACGUUACCCGCAGAAGAAGCACCGGCUAACUCCGUG
rnacentral:rRNA from 1 species